AUAAAAUUGAGAAUGGAAAUGGGGAAUGUGUCAAAGAGACAACAACCCGACCAAUAAAAAACAACAGCAGAGGGUCACCAACAGGUCUUCAAUGUAGCGAGAAAUUCCCGCACCCGGAGGCGUCCUUCAGCUGGCCCCUAAACAAAUAUAUACUAGUCCAGUGAUAAUGAACGCCAUACUAAUUUCCAAAUUGUACACAAGAAACUAAAAUUAAAAUAAUACAAGACUAACAAAGGCCAGAGGCUCCUGACUUGGGACAGGCGCAAAAAUGCGGCGGGGUUAAACAUGUUUGUGAGAUCUCAACCCUCCCCCUAUACCUCUAGCCAAUGUAGAAAAGUAAACGCAUAACAAUACGCACAUUAAAAUUCAGUUCAAGAGAAGUCCGAG
rnacentral:lncRNA from 1 species